rnacentral:lncRNA from 1 species
AUGGAGGGGAGGCCACGGAGGAGGUCGCGGGGCGGCGCACGCCCGGUGCCCGGGCGGGUCCCCGAGUCCCGACCCUCCGCGUCCCGGCCCUCCGCGUCCCGGCCCUCCGCGACAGCGCCCGCGGAGUCCUGGGGAGCGAAGCUCUGGCUCUUCCCCAGCGCCGCCGGGCUCCGCAGCGCGCUGUCCAAGAGGCCCGAGGCGACACGCCAGAUGUGCUGCACGCGCCGGCGCCUGGCGGUGCUGGAGCGCGGCGGGGCGGGCGUCGAGGUCCACCAGCUGCCGGCGGGGAGCGACGGCGCCAGGAAGCCGAGUGGUGAGCUUUUUGCUUGGGGACAGAACUUAGAUGGCCAGCUUGGAGUUGGAAGAAUAUUUGCCUCAACUUCCACACCGGAGAUUGUGGAGAACCUCUCAGGAGUCCCCUUGGUUCAGAUUUCUGCAGGAGAAGCCCACAGCAUGGCCUUAUCCAUGUCCGGAAAUGUUUACUCCUGGGGAAGAAAUGAUUGUGGACAGCUGGGCCUGGGCCACACCUACAAUAAAGAUUCUCCUUCCUGUAUUGAAGCACUGGAUGAUCAGAAAGUUGAAUUUCUUGCUUGUGGUGGCUCUCACACUGCCCUGCUCACAAAGAGUGGACUGGUAUUUACUUUUGGUGAUGGAAAGUAUGGGCAACUCGGUCACAAUUCAACACAGAAUGAGUUAAGACCCUGUUUGGUAGCUGGGCUUGUUGGAAAUAGAGUGACCCAGAUAGCAUGUGGAAGGCAGCACACACUUGCCUAUGUUUCUGAUAUGGGAAAGGUCUUUUCUUUUGGUUCUGGAAAAGAAGGACAACUGGGAAACGGUGGGACAUGUAAUCAGCUGAUGCCACGUCCCAUGAAAUUGCCGUCAAGUGAAGAACUCAAAUCUGAAAGCAGCACAUCAGUAAAGGAGUUAAUAAUGGUUGCUGGAGGGAAUCAAAGCAUUUUGAUGUGGAUGGAAAAAGAGAAUUCCUAUGUGAAUCUGAGGAGGAAAAUUCCUACCUUGAAUGAAGGCACUGUAAAGAGAUGGAUUGCUGAUGUGGGGACUAAACAGUGGCAAAAUACAAAAAGGGAAAUAAGAGAGAUAUUCUCAUCUCCUGCGUGUCUGACUGGAAGUUUUUUAAGGGAAAGAAUAGAUGGAGAAAUGAUAUCUAUUCAUUUGGACUUGAAUGCAGCAAGGAAUACCUUUAAGGAGUUAACCCAGAAGGACUGGAUUACUAACACGAUAACCUCAUGUCUCAGGGAUAAUCUGCUCAAAAAUCUUCCAUUUAAUUCUCCACACCAAGAAGCUUUGGAAGUUUUCUUCCUUCUCCCAGAAUGUCCUGUGAUGCAUGAUAGUAACAACUGGGAGAGCCUGGUGGUUCCAUUUGCAGAAGCUGUUAAUAAAAUGAAUAACCAGAUGUCAAGAGUUCUGGAGGAAUAUUGGGCAUCUCUGAAAGAAUCUCCUUUCAUCAAUCUGGUCCAGAUGUUUAAAAGAGCCAUCGUUGCUCAGCUGCAUUAUUGGACUGAAAGUUCUGAGAAUAACAAUCACAUUAAAGCUCUCCUAGAAGUGUUGAAAAAGCUGUAUAGGGUAAACCAGACUAAAUGUCAACUGCCUGAAAAUAUCUUUGAAAUAAAUGAACUCACACAGUGGCUUGAUUUUUAUGUAGAUGCAUAUAGAAGGUCCUCCUGGAAAGUGGACUCAGACAUUUCAGUAGACAUCGAGUAUCCUGUCAUAUUCAGUCGUUUUCCAUUUAUCUUUAAUAUUCUGUCGAAAAUAAAACUACUGUAUGCAGACUCACUUUUAAAAGUACAGGAGAAGAAAUUUCAAGCUUGUAUGAGGUUGGCUGGCAUUGUGGACCAAGAAGGGUCUGCAUUAUCUUUACUGCCCACCUUUAAUCUGAUAGUCAGAAGGAGUCACUUGAUUGAGGAUGUUUUUAAUCAGCUAAAUCAGUUUGAAAAUGAAGAUCUGAGGAGGGAGUUAAUGGUUUCAUUUAGUGGAGAAAUUGGAUAUGAUUUUGGAGGAGUCAGGGCAGAGUUUUUCUAUUGUCUCUUUCAAGAAAUGAUCCGGCCAGAAUAUGGAAUGUUCACGUAUCCUGAAGAGGCUUCCUACAUGUGGUUUCCUGUCAGGCCUAAAUUUGAAAAGAAGAGUUAUUUCUUCUUUGGACUUCUAUGUGGACUUUCUCUAUUCAAUUGUAAUGUUGCCGACAUCCCUUUUCCGCUGGCUCUGUUUAAGAAACUUUUGGACCAAACGCCAUCACUAGAAGACUUGAAAGAACUCAGUCCUGUUUUGGGAGAGAGUUUGCAGACACUUCUGGAUGAUGACGGCGAUGACUUAGAAGAAGUAUUUCACAUCCAUUUUAAUGUGCAUUGGGACAAAAAUGAUGUAGACUUAAUUCCUGACGGAAGUCACAUAAUUGUUGACCAGACUAACAAGAGAGACUAUGUUUCUAAGUAUGUCAAUUACAUCUUCAACAUCUCUGUAAAGGCAGUUUAUGAGGAGUUUCAAAGAGGAUUUUACAAAGUGUGUGACAAGGAGAUUAUUGAAUUUUUCCAUCCCGAACAACUUAAGGAUGUGAUUAUCGGAAAUACAGAUUACGACUGGGAAACAUUUGAAAAGAACGCACAUUAUGAACAUGGAUACGACAGUUCACAUCCCACCAUAGUGAUGUUUUGGAAAGCUUUACACAAAUUGACCUUGGAGGAAAAGAAAAAAUUCCUUGUGUUUCUUACAGGAACUGACAGAAUUCAAGUAAAAGGUGUAAAGAACAUGAAAAUAACAUUUUGCUGUCCUGAGACUUUGAAUGAGAAAGAUCCCAUAAGAGCACAGACAUGUUUUAGUGUCCUCUACCUCCCUAAAUAUUCUACAAUGGAAAGAGUAGAAGAAGCACUCCAAGUGGCCAUCAAUAACAGCAGAGGAUUUGGCUGACCUACCUCACACUCUUUACCCCUUUUGGGAAAUAUUUUCAAAAAUAAAAUUAACUUAAAACUUAAAAAAAAAAAAAAA